rnacentral:rRNA from 1 species
ACUGCUCAGUAACACGUGGAUAACCUGCCCAAGGGUCUGGGAUAACCCCGGGAAACUGGGGAUAAUACCGGAUGGAUCACUAGUGCUGGAAUGCUUGGUGGUCGAAAGGUAACGCCUUUGGAUGGGUCUGCGGCGGAUUAGGUUGACGCCGGUGUAACGUACCGGCGUGCCUGUAAUCCGUACGGGUUGUGGGAGCAAGAGCCCGGAGAUGGAUUCUGAGACACGAAUCCAGGCCCUACGGGGCGCAGCAGGCGCGAAAACUCUACAAUGCAGGCAACUGCGAUAGGGGGACAUCGAGUGGCAUCCACCUUGGGUGCCUGUCCAACCGUCUAAAAAACGGUUGUUAGCAAGGGCCGGGUAAGACCGGUGCCAGCCGCCGCGGUAAUACCGGCGGCUCGAGUGGUGGCCGAUAUUAUUGAGUCUAAAGGGUCCGUAGCCGGCUUUGCAAGUCCCCUGGGAAAUCCAGCGGCUUAACCGUUGGGCUUUCAUGGGAUACUACAUUGCUUGGGACUGGGAGAGGUAGGAGGUACUCGGGGGGUAGGGGUGAAAUCCUGUAAUCCUCCGGGGACCACCGGUGGCGAAGGCGUCCUACCAGAACAGGUCCGACGGUGAGGGACGAAAGCUAGGGGCACGAACCGGAUUAGAUACCCGGGUAGUCCUAGCCGUAAACGAUGCCCGCUAGGUGUCACGACGGUCGUGAAUCGUCGUGGUGCCGUAGGGAAGCCGCGAAGCGGGCCACUUGGGAAGUACGGCCGCAAGGCUGAAACUUAAAGGAAUUGGCGGGGGAGCAC